GACUUAGUUUGUGAGUUUAUAAGCUUUUGUUACGCAGAUUUUAAAGGUCUCAUUCAAGCCCCCACAUUGCGGGUCUGAAAUUGAGGCCAACGCAGAAGUGAAAUAAAUUGCAGUUCCACCCUCAUCCACUAGGGGCUGGUAUCAUAAGUGAGCAAAUCCUCAUCGACUCCCAUGUUAAAAAUACCAAUUUCACAGCAGAAAUAAACAUGUUUACAGCCUGGUUCCAAAACAUGUUUUUGGUUAAAUAGAUCUAUUUUACACUCAUGACAACUCUGAGGGGGUGAAUUUUUUGUCACUCUUCUGUUUAAGUGUAUUAAAUGCCUAAAAUUCGGCAUAAUUAAUGAGCAUCAGACCCACGUGACCACAGAGCUAGCUCCGUGGAAAGGCCUCAGCCUGAGCCUCGGCCUCGCCUGAAAACUGUUCCGCCAUUUUCAGUCUCUGAACUUAGACCAGUAGUUGUCAUGUUUGUGUGUUCUUUUUUGGAUGUUAUUUGUGCAAUUGUUGGACAAAAUGACUUGCUGUGGCAUUAAUUGCACUAAUAGAGCGUCCAAGGAGUCUCCACUUCAUUUUAUUCGGUAAGUAAAAUUAUAUUUAUGUAUUUUAGGUCACUGCCGCUUUUGCACUAGCUGAGCUUAUCAAAGUAGCUAGCUAACUACCAUUUUAACAUGUACUGUUUAACCAUGAAAUUUAGAUGUAAUACGGUGAAAUAAUUAACAGGGUAUAUGUCAAUGGGCAAAACCAUGGUAAAACCCAGUGCAUUUAACAUAAAAAUAGGUUUAAAUAUGACGGAGCUCUCGGAGGGAGACUUCUGUGUUUCAUUCUUCCACCCGGUUCUCCCCAGCGGUCAGCCCGGCGCAUCUCUGACCGCUUCGGCGCCUGUCUGCUACACGGGCUGACCGCUUGUGGAGCUCUCGGACUUGGAGAGAGACCUGACCACAGAAAUACUGCAGCUCGGUGAGUUGUUUGAUAGUACUUGAAGUUAGUCUCCAGAAGUCUGUAUGCCAUCAGAUAAACUCGCUCGUUUUUUUUUUUUUUUUUUUUUGCAUAUUUGUACAAUAGUGGUGGUGGGAGCGACUAAAUAACUAAUUUGUCCACAAAGAGUUACGACCGGGUGCCCUGUUCUCAUGGGAACUAGUGCUGUUUAAUAUAAAGGAAAUUAGUUAAUAAAAUUGAUUAUUAAAAGGUUCAUAUCUUAUCCAAUAAAGCGAUAGACUCAAGUGUUUCAUUUUAUAUAUUUUUUUAUAAAGUAUGCCUUUUGUAUUACUCUUUAUCCUAAUUUUAGACCUUUUACUACAGGCCAUGAUGCUUAAGUACUUCUUUGUAUGAAGUUUUCCUCUAGGUGAUCCAAAGAGGCUUGACCUUUGGGUAAGCAACCAAAGAAGAGAGUGCUGGACUCCCAAUUCACACUCCUGCUUGUGCAGUGAACACUUAGAGAGUCAUCACUUCACCACGGACUCCAGGGGGAAACUUUGCCUGAAGGACACAGCUGUACCUACAAUCUUCUCUUUCUUUAAGGUCAAAAAACAUCUUCCAAGAAGGAAAGUACAGGUGGAAUUGCUGUGUGACUCCUGUGUCCUGUGGCCCAUGACCUGUGUCAGCCUGGUUCUAGAUGUGGCCUUGCUGAGUUAUCUGUAGAAAGGCGCUCGGCUGUCUGGGAGGUGGUCUGAGUUGGUUCUGUGCUCUGUGGUGGCUGCUGGUUUCCUGGUGCUUGGGGCGAUUCCAGAGUGCACCCGAUCCUUGAAGGUCUCACACUUCACAUCCCAGCGCACGCAUGAACACAUGCUUGUUGAUGUUUGUUGUUCAUGGUUUACAUGUUUAUAGUUGUUCGUCUCACGUUUUCUUGAUGAUUCUUAGAAAUGUUUCUUUACAGGUGCAGCAACUGGUAGCUGUUUUUUUAUGUUGGUUUCCUAGUUGUUUUUAUAUUUCCCUCUUAUUUACUUGUUUGGCCUCUUUCAGCCCUCUUUAUUCCAGAUUGGUUCAGCAUUUGCUUGCUAAUGUGGCGAUACAUAACCCAAACCAAUAUUACACUAACACAAAUUUUUAUUCAAGGGAACCUCGUACACAAAAGGCUCCGCUAUG